CAUGAGGAACCAGGGCUGAUACAGCAUAGUCUCUACGUAGUAAAGCGGGGGAUCUCAGACCUCGCGCCAUAGGAGCGGCCCGUGUCCGAUUAGUUUGACGGCGGGGUAACAGCGCACCGUGGCUACAAUCGGUAGCUGGUCUGAGAGGAUGAUCAGCCACACCGGGACUGAGACACGGCCCGGACUCCUACGGGAGGCAGCAGUGGGGAAUAUUGGACAAUGGGGGCAACCCUGAUCCAGCGAUGCCGCGUGUGUGAAGAAGGCCUUCGGGUUGUAAAGCACUUUCGCGGGGGAAGAAACUUCGCGCUCUAACAUAGCGCGGCACUGACGGUACCCCGAGAAGAAGCGCCGGCUAACUCCGUGCCAGCAGCCGCGGUAAUACGGAGGGCGCAAGCGUUAAUCGGAAUGACUGGGCGUAAAGCGUGCGCAGGCGGCCGCGGAAGUCGGAUGUGAAAGCCCCGGGCUCAACCCGGGAACUGCGUUCGAAACUCCGCGGCUCGAGUCCGGCAGAGGAAGGUGGAAUUCCGCGUGUAGCGGUGAAAUGCGUAGAGAUGCGGAAGAACACUAAUGGCGAAGGCAUCCUUCUGGGCCGGCACUGACGCUGAGGCACGAAAGCGUGGGUAGCAAACAGGAUUAGAUACCCUGGUAGU
rnacentral:rRNA from 1 species